rnacentral:rRNA from 1 species
GGGUUGUGAGGUUAAGCGACCAAGCGUACACGGUGGAUGCCCUGGCAGUCAGAGGCGAUGAAGGACGUGCUAAUCUGCGAUAAGCGCCGGUAAGGUGAUAUGAACCGUUAUAACCGGCGAUUUCCGAAUGGGGAAACCCAGUGUGACUCGUCACACUAUCAUUAACUGAAUCCAUAGGUUAAUGA